rnacentral:rRNA from 1 species
AAUGAACGUUGGCGGCGUGGAUUAGGCAUGCAAGUCGUGCGAGAACCGUAGCAAUACGGGGACAGCGGCGUAAGGGAGAGGAAUACGCGGGUACCUACCCUCGGAUCUGGGAUAGCCACGGGAAACUGUGGGUAAUACCAGAUGACGUCUUCGGACCAAAGGUGUGAUUCCGUCCGAGGAGGGGCCCACGUCCUAUUAGCUAGUUGGUGAGGUAACGGCUCACCAAGGCGAAGAUGGGUAUGGGAUGUGAGAGCAUGAUCCCACUCACUGGGACUGAGACACUGCCCAGACACCUACGGGAGGCAG